GACUUAAAAUCCGUUGA
rnacentral:tRNA from 1 species